rnacentral:rRNA from 1 species
GAUGAACGCUGGCGGCGUGCCUAAUACAUGCAAGUCGAGCGAACAGACGAGGAGCUUGCUCCUCUGACGUUAGCGGCGGACGGGUGAGUAACACGUGGAUAACCUACCUAUAAGACUGGGAUAACUUCGGGAAACCGGAGCUAAUACCGGAUAAUAUAUUGAACCGCAUGGUUCAAUACUGAAAGACGGUUUUGCUGUCACUUAUAGAUGGAUCCGCGCCGCAUUAGCUAGUUGGUAAGAUAACGGCUUACCAAGGCAACGAUGCGUAGCCGACCUGAGAGGGUGAUCGGCCACACUGGAACUGAGACACGGUCCAGACUCCUACGGGAGGCAGCAGUAGGGAAUCUUCCGCAAUGGGCGAAAGCCUGACGGAGCAACGCCGCGUGAGUGAUGAAGGUCUUCGGAUCGUAAAACUCUGUUAUUAGGGAAGAACAAAUGUGUAAGUAACUAUGCACGUCUUGACGGUACCUAAUCAGAAAGCCACGGCUAACUACGUG